rnacentral:snRNA from 1 species
AGCUUUGUGCAGUGGCAGUAUCGUAGCCAAUGAGGUUUAUCUGAGGCGCGAUUACUAACUGAAAACUUUUCCUAAUACCCCGCCAUGACGACUUGAAAUAUAGUCGGCAUUGGCAAUUUUUGACAGUCUCUACGGAGA